UAUGAUGCCAGCAUCAGAGCUCCCAUAGGAGUAAUCAGAAAUAAUUAGAUAAUUCAUUUAAAUCGUCUUUUCCUUAGCCAGCCUACAACGAGACCUGGAGAUUUCACCACCACCACCAACAGAAAAAGCUCAAAGAGCCCAAAAAAGGCAGAAGAGCCCUACAAAGGGUCCCUGCCCUAUGUCCCCAUAGGCCACAGAGCACUCGUGGCACAAGAGUGGUGAAGCUGUGUCCCUGGGGGCCCGGCAGUAACAGAAGUAACAGGAACCCCUCCUUUCUUCUGCAGAGGUGAAGAGGGAGGGAAAAUAAAAUAAAAAAAAUAAUAAUAAUUAAAAAAAAAAGUAAUUUAAAAAAUAUCCCAUCCUUGGGCUUCAGUCUGUGGGGCUGGAGCUGGGAGGUGCUGUAGCACCAGGAUUCCCCAUGGGGAUGCUCAGCGCCAGCCUGGCUGCAGCUGCAGGGCUGGGGCUGCGUCCCCCCUUGUAACGACAGGAUGGGAAGGGACCGGGUCAGACAAAGUGCCUGCACUGGGCAGGAGCUGCCAGCCAAGGGCCGGGCGGGGAGCAGCUGUGCUGCAGCACCGCAAUCACAGCCCUGCAGUGAGAGCAGCGAGCGGGGAGCAGCGCCCAGCCCCGACCCCUGCAGCAGCGAGCGGCUCCUGGCUUAGCGAGGCAAAACGCACAGCUUGGCGAGGAGCACCGUGCACAGAGCAGGCUGGAAGGCAGCACGGGAAGCAGAGCAGUGAGGGGCAGAGCAGUGCCGGUGGCGGCACGCAGCUCCCAAUGCCCGCGGCUCCGUGCUGCUGCAAGGGGUAAAGGAGAGGCAGGGAUGGGAAAUCAAACUAUCCUGCGGAAUCUGGGGCUGUUCCAACCUAACAAAACAGCCGGGUGACCCCGAGGAGCAGCAGAAAGCACCCAGAGCCCCUCCGCCACCGCUGCAGCACGCGCCUCCUGCAUCCAUCCCAAGGCAGCCCGCAGUAACGCAGCAGAAAGACAAGUGUCAUGCUGAAUUGCAUUCUCCUCGCACACAACAGCCGAGCGGCAGCACCCAACAUGCAUGGCUCAGCCCUGCCGCCACGCCACGCCGGAAUGGAGAGCCUUAAAAUAAGAUUUUUCUCCUUGCUUUAAAAAGGAAAAGCAGUCGGGAUGAUGGCAUUAACCCUUUGAGGGCAGUGCGUCCCUGCAGCUCCGGAGCGCUGCGCUUCUGGAGGAAUUUUAGCACCAGGGAACGACGCUGCCAAAAAGUUCUGGCGAAGGAAAAUGUUUCUACAUUAAACUUUUAGUGCUCUCUAAAGUGAAGCUACAAUUGCAUCUGAGCUUGAUCCUUAAUGGAAAGAUAAGCUUGCAGAUAAGGAAGGUGCACUCUGCGGGGCUGGAGGUGCCUGAAGGUCGGUCCCAGCCCCUCGCCCCACUGCAGCCCCACAGCACUGUGUGCACCCACAGCCCCUGAGCAGACACAUGAAGUUUGCACAGCAGGGCCAACGCCAGCCUUCCAUAAAAUCAGAGGUCAGAAAAUCCCCUGUGGAUCCCCAAGCCCACUCCCAACCCCCACACCACCCCCGGUCAUCCUAUGCCAGUGCCGACCAUUCCCUCUGAGGAGCACUGCUCCCUGACACCCAACCCGACCCUCCCCUGGCACACCGUGGGCCAUCACCUCUCAUCCCAUCGCUGUCACCUGGGAGCAGAGGGGUCCCA